rnacentral:tRNA from 1 species
GCGUUCGUGGUGUAAUGGCCAGCACACUGGGCCCGUAUUCGAGAGGUCCGAGGUUCGAAUCCCGGCGAGGACA